GGGUUGUGAGGUUAAGCGACUAAGCGUACACGGUGGAUGCCCUGGCAGUCAGAGGCGAUGAAGGACGUGCUAAUCUGCGAUAAGCGCCGGUAAGGUGAUAUGAACCGUUAUAACCGGCGAUUUCCGAAUGGGGAAACCCAGUGUGACUCGUCACACUAUCAUUAACUGAAUCCAUAGGUUAAUGAGGCGAACCGGGGGAACUGAAACAUCUAAGUACCCCGAGGAAAAGAAAUCAACCGAGAUUCCCCCAGUAGCGGCGAGCGAACGGGGAGGAGCCCAGAGCCUGAAUCAGCAUGUGUGUUAGUGGAAGCGUCUGGAAAGGCGCGCGAUACAGGGUGACAGCCCCGUACACAAAAGCGCAUGUGCUGUGAGCUCGAUGAGUAGGGCGGGACACGUGGUAUCCUGUCUGAAUAUGGGGGGACCAUCCUCCAAGGCUAAAUACUCCUGACUGACCGAUAGUGAACCAGUACCGUGAGGGAAAGGCGAAAAGAACCCCGGCGAGGGGAGUGAAAAAGAACCUGAAACCGUGUACGUACAAGCAGUGGGAGCACCCUUUGGGGUGUGACUGCGUACCUUUUGUAUAAUGGGUCAGCGACUUAUAUUCUGUAGCAAGGUUAACCGAAUAGGGGAGCCGGAGGGAAACCGAGUCUUAAUUGGGCGUUAAGUUGCAGGGUAUAGACCCGAAACCCGGUGAUCUAGCCAUGGGCAGGUUGAAGGUUAGGUAACACUAACUGGAGGACCGAACCGACUAAUGUUGAAAAAUUAGCGGAUGACCUGUGGCUGGGGGUGAAAGGCCAAUCAAACCGGGAGAUAGCUGGUUCUCCCCGAAAGCUAUUUAGGUAGCGCCUCGUGAAUUCAUCUCCGGGGGUAGAGCACUGUUUCGGCUAGGGGGCCAUCCCGGCUUACCAACCCGAUGCAAACUGCGAAUACCGGAGAAUGUUAUCACGGGAGACACACGGCGGGUGCUAACGUCCGUCGUGAAGAGGGAAACAACCCAGACCGCCAGCUAAGGUCCCAAAGUCAUGGUUAAGUGGGAAACGAUGUGGGAAGGCCCAGACAGCCAGGAUGUUGGCUUAGAAGCAGCCAUCAUUUAAAGAAAGCGUAAUAGCUCACUGGUCGAGUCGGCCUGCGCGGAAGAUGUAACGGGGCUAAACCAUGCACCGAAGCUGCGGCAGCGACACUAUGUGUUGUUGGGUAGGGGAGCGUUCUGUAAGCCUGUGAAGGUGUGCUGUGAGGCAUGCUGGAGGUAUCAGAAGUGCGAAUGCUGACAUAAGUAACGAUAAAGCGGGUGAAAAGCCCGCUCGCCGGAAGACCAAGGGUUCCUGUCCAACGUUAAUCGGGGCAGGGUGAGUCGACCCCUAAGGCGAGGCCGAAAGGCGUAGUCGAUGGGAAACGGGUUAAUAUUCCCGUACUUGGUGUUACUGCGAAGGGGGGACGGAGAAGGCUAUGUUGGCCGGGCGACGGUUGUCCCGGUUUAAGCGUGUAGGCUGGUUUUCCAGGCAAAUCCGGAAAAUCAAGGCUGAGGCGUGAUGACGAGGCACUACGGUGCUGAAGCAACAAAUGCCCUGCUUCCAGGAAAAGCCUCUAAGCAUCAGGUAACAUCAAAUCGUACCCCAAACCGACACAGGUGGUC
rnacentral:rRNA from 1 species